AGAGUUUGAUCCUGGCUCAGGAUGAACGCUAGCGACAGGCUUAACACAUGCAAGUCGAGGGGCAGCACAGGUAGCAAUACCGGGUGGCGACCGGCGCACGGGUGAGUAACGCGUAUGCAACUUACCUAUCAGAGGGGGAUAACCCGGCGAAAGUCGGACUAAUACCGCAUGAAGCAGGGGCCCCGCAUGGGGAUAUUUGCUAAAGAUUCAUCGCUGAUAGAUAGGCAUGCGUUCCAUUAGGCAGUUGGCGGGGUAACGGCCCACCAAACCGACGAUGGAUAGGGGUUCUGAGAGGAAGGUCCCCCACAUUGGUACUGAGACACGGACCAAACUCCUACGGGAGGCAGCAGUGAGGAAUAUUGGUCAAUGGACGAGAGUCUGAACCAGCCAAGUAGCGUGAAGGAUGACUGCCCUAUGGGUUGUAAACUUCUUUUAUAAAGGAAUAAAGUCGGGUAUGCAUACCCGUUUGCAUGUACUUUAUGAAUAAGGAUCGGCUAACUCCGUGCCAGCAGCCGCGGUAAUACGGAGGAUCCGAGCGUUAUCCGGAUUUAUUGGGUUUAAAGGGUGCGUAGGCGGCCUUUUAAGUCAGCGGUGAAAGUCUGUGGCUCAACCAUAGAAUUGCCGUUGAAACUGGGGGGCUUGAGUAUGUUUGAGGCAGGCGGAAUGCGUGGUGUAGCGGUGAAAUGCAUAGAUAUCACGCAGAACCCCGAUUGCGAAGGCAGCCUGCCAAGCCAUGACUGACGCUGAUGCACGAAAGCGUGGGGAUCAAACAGGAUUAGAUACCCUGGUAGUCCACGCAGUAAACGAUGAUCACUAGCUGUUUGCGAUACACUGUAAGCGGCACAGCGAAAGCGUUAAGUGAUCCACCUGGGGAGUACGCCGGCAACGGUGAAACUCAAAGGAAUUGACGGGGGCCCGCACAAGCGGAGGAACAUGUGGUUUAA
rnacentral:rRNA from 1 species